GAAUCCCGUCUUUGGCAUGGAUGACCGGGGCUUUUGUGAUGCGCUCUCGAAGAGUCGAGUUGUUUGGGAAUGCAGCUCAAAAUGGGUGGUGAACUCCAUCUAAAGCUAAAUAUUGGCGAGAGACCGAUAGCGAACAAGUACCGUGAGGGAAAGAUGAAAAGCACUUUGGAAAGAGAGUGAAACAGUACGUGAAAUUGUUGAAAGGGAAACGCUUGAAGUCAGUCGCGUCGACCGAGACUCAGCCUCGCCUUGGCUUGGUGUACUUCUCGGCACGACGGGUCAGCAUCAAUUUUGCCCCUCGGAUAAUGGCAGGGGAAAGGUGGCACCUUUACGGGUGUGUUAUAGUCUUCUGUCGCAUGCGAGGGGUGGGAUUGAGGAACUCAGCGCGCACCUCAGUGUCGGGGCUUCGGCCCACGUCACGCGCUUAGGAUGCUGGCGUAAUGGCUUUAAACGACCCGUCUUGAAACACGGACCAAGGAGUCUAACAUACGCGCGAGUGUUUGGGUGGAAAACCCAUGCGCGCAAUGAAAGUAAAAGUUGGGACCUCUGUCGUGGAGGGCACCGACGCCCGGACCAGACCUUCUGUGACGGCUCUGCGGUAGAGCGUGUAUGUUGGGACCCGAAAGAUGGUGAACUAUGCCUGAAUAGGGUGAAGCCAGAGGAAACUCUGGUGGAGGCUCGUAGCGAUUCUGACGUGCAAAUCGAUCGUCAAAUUUGGGUAUAGGGGCGAAAGACUAAUCGAACCAUCUAGUAGCUGGUUCCUGCC
rnacentral:rRNA from 1 species